rnacentral:rRNA from 1 species
CAGUCGCCACGGGAAUACGGAGGGUGCAAGCGUUACUCGGAAUUACUGGGCGUAAAGCGUGCGUAGGUGGUGGUUUAAGUCCGUUGUGAAAGCCCUGGGCUCAACCUGGGAAUUGCAGUGGAUACUGGGUCACUAGAGUGUGGUAGAGGAUAGUGGAAUUUCCGGUGUAGCAGUGAAAUGCGUAGAGAUCGGAAGGAACAUCUGUGGCGAAGGCGACUAUCUGGGCCAACACUGACACUGAGGCACGAAAGCGUGGGGAGCAAACAGGAUUAGAUACCCGAGUAGUCCCUGUCUCUUAUAC